UUUUUUUUUUUUUAAAUUUGUUUCCUGGUCACUAAACAUCAUAACUCUCUCCAACCAGCAGCAAAAUUCAUAAUGCAAUCAAAUCCAAUCUCACAACAAACGUGUUUGUGAAUGCUUCCCCAGGUUUCGUCGGAACUUGGUAGACCUAGUUUUAGAAACUAACACGAGUACUGCAAUCUCUAUUGGAUUGAUUUCAUGUGACUCGAAUUGUCAUUAGAAAAAAACUGUAUUUGCUUAACAUCUUUCUAAUUUAGGCAGAAUUAGGCAACAAAACCUGGCAUGAAGUGGAAAUUCCAUGAUCAACUUCAAAUGGUACUUCUAAAACUAAUUUGAUAACUAAACAAAUGCUCAAAACUUUCAAUCGUUAGUUAAGGAAAACCAAAGAAAAUCAAAACAAG
rnacentral:misc_RNA from 1 species